GACGAACGCUGGCGGCGUGCCUAAUACAUGCAAGUAGAACGCUGAAGGAGGAGCUUGCUUCUCUGGAUGAGUUGCGAACGGGUGAGUAACGCGUAGGUAACCUGCCUGGUAGCGGGGGAUAACUAUUGGAAACGAUAGCUAAUACCGCAUAAGAGUAGAUGUUGCAUGACAUUUGCUUAAAAGGUGCAAUUGCAUCACUACCAGAUGGACCUGCGUUGUAUUAGCUAGUUGGUGGGGUAACGGCUUACCAAGGCGACGAUACAUAGCCGACCUGAGAGGGGGAUCCGCCACACCGGGACUGAGACACGGCCCAGAAUCCUACGGGAGGCAGCAGUAGGGAAUCCUCGGCAAUGGACGGAAGUCUGACCGAGCAACGCCGCGUGAGUGAAGAAGGUUUUCGGAUCGUAAAGCUCUGUUGUAAGAGAAGAACGAGUGUGAGAGUGGAAAGUUCACACUGUGACGGUAUCUUACCAGAAAGGGACGGCUAACUACGUG
rnacentral:rRNA from 1 species